GUAGUCUCGCACAGAUGCAUAUCAAUAAGCGGAGGAAAAGAAACUAACAAGGAUUCCCUUAGUAACGGCGAGUGAAGCGGGAAGAGCUCAAAUUUGAAAUCUUCAAGGUUUUACCUUGACGAAUUGUAGUUUAAAGAAGUGUUUUCUGUUGAAGUUUGGUAAUAAGUUCUUUGGAAUAGGACAUCAUAGAGGGUGAGAAUCCCGUAUUUGACCAUUAUUUUCAGCUGUGUGAUACACUUUCAAAGAGUCGGAUUGUUUGGGAAUGCAGUCCAAAAUGGGUGGUAAAUUUCAUUCUAAAGCUAAAUAUUGGCGAGAGACCGAUAGCGAACAAGUACCGUGAGGGAAAGAUGAAAAGAACUUUGAAAAGAGAGUUAAAUAGUACGUGAAAUUGUCAAAAGGGAAGCGUUUGACACCAGUGUUGUUUUCUCGAAAAUCAAUUAAAAAGAGUUAGAUUUUGUUGUGUAUUGACCUUAACAGCUUGCAUUUCAAUUUUCUUGCUUUUUUUAAUGCACUUUUCGUUUAACAAGUCAACAUCAGUUUCUUUUGUUGUAAAAAGGUCAUUGGAAGGUGGCUUUCUUUUCGGAGAAAGUGUUUAUAGGCCUUUGACUCCUGCAAUCGGAGAGACUGAGGUCUGCAGCGUAGAUCCUUCGGGGUUAGAUACAUUUGUGCUAAGUUAUAGCUUUUUAUAGACAACUUGUUGACUAUGAUUAGUCUUGUAGCUUACUCGCUUAUGCUAUUUUACCUACGCUUAGGAUGUUGAAGAUGUAGCACAUCAU
rnacentral:rRNA from 1 species